rnacentral:rRNA from 1 species
UGGCUCAGAUUGAACGCUGGCGGAAUGCUUUACACAUGCAAGUCGAGCGGCAGCGCGGGGCAACCUGGCGGCGAGCGGCGAACGGGUGAGUAAUGUAUCGGAACGUGUCCUGUUGUGGGGGAUAGCCCGGUGAAAACCGGAUUAAUACCGCAUACGAUCGAGAGAUGAAAGUGGGGGACCGCAAGGCCUCACGCGAUAGGAGCGGCCGAUAUCUGAUUAGCUAGUUGGUGGGGUAACGGCCCACCAAGGCGACGAUCAGUAGCUGGUCUGAGAGGAUGAUCAGCCACACUGGGACUGAGACACGGCCCAGACUCCUACGGGAGGCAGCAGUGGGGAAUUUUGGACAAUGGGGGGCAACCCUGAUCCAGCCAUUCCGCGUGAGUGAAGAAGGGCCUUCGGGGUUGUAAAGCUCUUUGUCCGGGGAAGAACGGGUUUGGCUAAUACCCAAGACUACUGACGGGUACCGGGAAGAAUAAGGGACCGGGCUAACUACGUGCCAGCCGCCGCU